AAUAAAUAAAAUAUUUUUUAAAAAUUGGAAUGAUGCAGAAGAGAUUAGUACGGCUCCUGCAUGAAGGUGACACACAAAUUCGUGAAGCGUUCCCUAUUUUU
rnacentral:snRNA from 1 species